rnacentral:rRNA from 1 species
GACGAACGCUGGCGGCGUGCCUAAUACAUGCAAGUAGAACGCUGAAGAGAGGAGCUUGCUCUUCUUGGAUGAGUUGCGAACGGGUGAGUAACGCGUAGGUAACCUGCCUUGUAGUGGGGGAUAACUAUUGGAAACGAUAGCUAAUACCGCAUAACAAUGGAUGACACAUGUCAUUUAUUUGAAAGGGGCAAUUGCUCCACUACAAGAUGGACCUGCGUUGUAUUAGCUAGUAGGUGAGGUAACGGCUCACCUAGGCGACGAUACAUAGCCGACCUGAGAGGGUGAUCGGCCACACUGGGACUGAGACACGGCCCAGACUCCUACGGGAGGCAGCAGUAGGGAAUCUUCGGCAAUGGGGGCAACCCUGACCGAGCAACGCCGCGUGAGUGAAGAAGGUUUUCGGAUCGUAAAGCUCUGUUGUAAGUCAAGAACGAGUGUGAGAGUGGAAAGUUCACACUGUGACGGUAGCUUACCAGAAAGGGACGGCUAACUACGUGCCAGCAGCCGCGGUAAUACGUAGGUCCCGAGCGUUGUCCGGAUUUAUUGGGCGUAAAGCGAGCGCAGGCGGUUUGAUAAGUCUGAAGUUAAAGGCUGUGGCUCAACCAUAGUUCGCUUUGGAAACUGUCAAACUUGAGUGCAGAAGGGGAGAGUGGAAUUCCAUGUGUAGCGGUGAAAUGCGUAGAUAUAUGGAGGAACACCGGUGGCGAAAGCGGCUCUCUGGUCUGUAACUGACGCUGAGGCUCGAAAGCGUGGGGAGCGAACAGGAUUAGAUACCCUGGUAGUCCACGCCGUAAACGAUGAGUGCUAGGUGUUGGAUCCUUUCCGGGAUUCAGUGCCGCAGCUAACGCAUUAAGCACUCCGCCUGGGGAGUACGACCGCAAGGUUGAAACUCAAAGGAAUUGACGGGGGCCCGCACAAGCGGUGGAGCAUGUGGUUUAAUUCGAAGCAACGCGAAGAACCUUACCAGGUCUUGACAUCCCGAUGCUAUUUCUAGAGAUAGAAAGUUACUUCGGUACAUCGGUGACAGGUGGUGCAUGGUUGUCGUCAGCUCGUGUCGUGAGAUGUUGGGUUAAGUCCCGCAACGAGCGCAACCCCUAUUGUUAGUUGCCAUCAUUCAGUUGGGCACUCUAGCGAGACUGCCGGUAAUAAACCGGAGGAAGGUGGGGAUGACGUCAAAUCAUCAUGCCCCUUAUGACCUGGGCUACACACGUGCUACAAUGGUUGGUACAACGAGUUGCGAGUCGGUGACGGCAAGCUAAUCUCUUAAAGCCAAUCUCAGUUCGGAUUGUAGGCUGCAACUCGCCUACAUGAAGUCGGAAUCGCUAGUAAUCGCGGAUCAGCACGCCGCGGUGAAUACGUUCCCGGGCCUUGUACACACCGCCCGUCACACCACGAGAGUUUGUAACACCCGAAGUCAAAGAGGUAACCUUUUGGAGCCAGCCGCCUAAG